UCAUUUGCCAUUCUCAUCUAAGGCAUUGAAGAGGUGAUCUAAAUAUUAAAAUUGCCUCCUUGUGUCCAUCACCUCAAGAUCAUUCUGACGCAAUAUUUUGAAUUUAUACGGCAAAAUUUUGUAUAAAAGCAUCAUUCAACUCUGUUGUGGUAUACAAUAUCAAUAUUGUUUUCGUUGUGGAAGCAGCUACCCAAAACAUUAAAAUGAAACUUUUCAUUUGUGCCGUCCUCCUAGUGGCCUCAGCCCACGCCGGCCGCGACAAGCGAGGGAUCUACGGAGAGCCCGGUGGCCUCCUAACCCCCUCCCUUAGCUACUCUCCCGUCAUCUCCCCAAGCUACAUCUCCUCUCCCAUCAUCUCUUCUCCCGUUCUCUCCUCCCCAAUCAUCAGAGCUCCCGUCUACGCCCCGUCAGUUUACUCCCCUCCAAUCGUUCAUUCUGCGCCUUUGAUUUCGUCUCCCAUUUACGCUUCUCCGUCUAUAAUCCGUUCACCUCCAGUGUACUCAUCUUCAGUGUACUCAUCACCGGUGAUAAGGUCCUCAGUGUACUCGCCAGUGCUCAGGGCAGCUCCUCUGUACUCGGCUCCUGUCAUCAGGUCAGCUCCGGUAUUGCGCCGCUACGCUUCGGGGUGGUGGUGAAGAGACAUUGUGAUGUUGGAAUUUAUUUCUGGACCACGGCGGAUUGGAAUUGUUGAAGGGAAUAAAAAUAUUUAAAUCGA